GGAGGUACUCAAGUCAUGGGGAUCAGCUGACCCCAUGACUUUUAAAAAUUUGUAUUACAUGUUCAUUUUAAUAGCGUAAAAUGGAAGAUUUAGUUAAAUGAUUGAAAAAUUGACCCCCUUGGUAAAGGUUCAAAUGCUAACUUUGCACCCCGUUAAAUUUUUUCUCUCAUCUAAUUGCCUAGUUUUUUUUUUUUGUAACUGUUAGUUGUUUGUUUUUAAUAUGCUAUGGACAAUCUUUAGGAAAAAAAAUCAAUUCUUCCGUAUAUAAGUUGUUCCUUGUUACAAUUGCUUUUAGUUUUAUAACUCUAAAACAUUGUUUGAUAACAAUUUUUAUCUACAAAAAUCAAUAAAAUUUACAUAAAUAAUUUAAGUGAAUAAAUUAUAAAACCUUAUAUACUAUGCAAAUGAUUUAGAUGUUAGUAUAUAU
rnacentral:lncRNA from 1 species